AUAAGAUCAAGAAGCUCAUCUUCAUCAUCACCAUCAAGGGCGUCUUGCAAAGCAGUGGACAAGAGAUCGCGCUCAGACUGACUAAGAUACAACAUUAGUGAGUCAAACAAUAAAUCAGGUGAGACAGUGUGUUCACCAAAUGUGAUUGCUGCUGUAAAGGCUUGAGCCAGCCGAGAAGGAAAAUAUCCAUGGUCCUUUAAUCCCUUGACCAUUAUCCUACCAACAGAUUUCCAUUCUUCCUCUUGCCAUUUUGGGGAUAGUGAUGGCACCCUCACAUCUGCACCCUCUGCUGCACAGUCUAAAAACUCUGUCCAGAAGGCAGCAUAUACAUCCCUGGACACGCCAUCAGCAUCUGCCCCCAUUUCAUGAAUGAAGCUGUAUUUCACAGAGUAGGACAUCAUCGCUUCAUCCUUGAAUUGGCCUCGCUGCAUCUGUCUGUUCAUCAGUUCCUUCUGUCAUCUCUGGGAACACUUCAUCUCCAUUUGUCAGGUGCUCUGUGAACAAGUAAAAUCUUAAAAUCCCCAAUUUAUGUGUCUCAUAGAGCUCUCCCACACUAACAUCCUCAUCAAGGUAUGCUUCCUGAAAGUCAACAAUGUUGUG
ensembl:lncRNA